rnacentral:lncRNA from 1 species
UUGGUGAAUUGAGGAAGUUAUUGUUCAAGAAGGAGAAGGUUUUGGCUAAUGGGACAGCAAGGGAAUCACGUUUCGAGUCUUGGGGACACUGAGAGUGCAUGAUUCAGGUAACCUUUCGGAUUAUUUACUGCUAUGUGAAAGUGUGCACGGAUUUAGGGUUUGUGAAACCCAUUUAGAGAUUAGAUGGAUUGCUGUGUUGUUAUUCAACGUUUAUAACCUUGUAUUAGGACCCUUAGAGGUCCAGAAGGAUCCAUGUUUGUAUAUUCGGGAAAAUAUGUAUCUCAGGAAGCAGUUCGAUCGACUGCAUGGCGUGGACUCGCCGAGUCGGAUGAUCAGACUCGGCGAGUAGCUUGAAGAUUUACUGGGACUCGCCGAGUUGUUCUUCAGACUCGGCGAGUAGAGUCGGGGUGGCCCCGCGAUUCUUCCAGGAGUAACUCGUUGAGUCAAAGAGAGUACUCGACGAGUAGAAGGGAAUUUUAGAGGAAUGAAGGACGACCAGACUCGCCGAGUCGCCAGGGAACUCGCCGAGUCCAGUCGAGUUGACAGCGGACUGUUGACUAGAGUUGACUGGUGUGAUUUCUUAGGGUCAACUAAUGAGGAAGAUAGAAGUAUUAAUAAGAGACAUAUGAUGUGACAGGGAGCUUGUAGCUCGGAGGAUCAAGUGUAAGGGAUUUCAGGAGUUGCUAUCUUCCAGUGACCGCGAGGUGAGUCUUCUCACUAUACUUCACCCGGAAGGGUUUGAUUGUGUGACCGGAAGGUCAAGUAUGUUAUGUGUUAUGUUUAUAUGCUAUAAAUGGAAAGUUAGCUGCUACGCGUGAUAUACAUGCUUAUAUAUGGGCCGGAAGGCAAAGUAUUAUGUGACAGAAAGGUCAGGUAUGAUAUAUGGUGUAUGUGCUUUAUGUGUUAGAGUAUUUGUAUUAUGUGUUAUAUAUGUGUAUGGGCCGGAAGGCAAUUAUCUUAUGGGCCGGAAGGCAAUUAUCUUAUGGGCCGGAAGGCAAUUAUCUUAUGGGCCGGAAGGCAAUUAUCUUAUGGGCCGGAAGGCAAUUAUCUUAUGGGCCGGAAGGCAAUUAUCUUAUGGGCCGGAAGGCAAAUAUCUUAUGGGCCGGAAGGCGAGUAUCUCAUGGGCCGGAAGGCAUUGUACAGUUGACCGGAAGGUCAGGGCCUGGAAAGGCGUAUGUGCGUAAGGUAUAUUGGGGAACUCACUAAGCUUCGUGCUUACGUUGUUUAUGUUAUGUUGUUUCAGGUUCUUACAGUAACGCGGGAUGGCAACGGUUCGAUUGUACACACCGAAGAAAGAGUUGUGUUUUGGAGGAUCCUGGUCUUCUAUUAUAACGAAAAAGAAACUAUGUUUUGUAAUUCGAAUGUGAAUAAGAUUUUAAACAAGUGUUUUAAUAUUAAAUUGAUUAUUUAAAUGAAAAUUUUGUUUUUGGAAAUCACGGUGUUACAAAUUGGUAUCAGAGCCUUGGUUUGAGGGAUUCGGACGCGCCUACGGGUGAGUCUGGACUCAAACUGAGGAAUUAAGAAAAGGUUUUCAAAUAAAUAGUUUUCUAAAAGUGAAUAAGAGUUCAAAGAGAAAGCAAGAAAGAGCAGUGUGUACAAUCAGCCAGAGCCAAACGGUGAUUUCCCAAAAUACCCUUACUUUUGUAUUAUGAAAUAUCUAUUAUGCACUUUAUGAGACAUUAUUGCAUGCUAGAGACAGGCUAGGUAUUUCACAUCUUAGGACUAGAGUGGCCUGAUUUGUGAUGCCUUAGUCUAGGGUUUGCUGUUAUAUGUGCGUUAUGCUUUUGUGUGUAUGUGAUGAGUGAGAGUAUCUAGUUAGAACGCACAAGGGGUAAAGCUACGGGGUACAGAGGUACUUCCGAGGAUGAGCCGAGAAGGUGGAGCUACCACAGAUGGGGAGUCCUAUGUAUGCUUCAAUGCUCGAAUGCUGCUUGCUUUGUGCUUUGUGGAGUUAUCGAUGAUGGGAGUCAGCUACUAAGUGAGUAUGACGAUACUCAGGAGGUAGAGGGCUGGCAUCAUUAGGAACUCUUCAGCAGCUGAUAGCAAAGAAGUGGGAGGACAGCGGAAGGGACUAGGGAGUAAACCUAGCCAGAUGAGUGCGCUGGUAGAGUAGAGGAUUUCGCUGGAAAGCGAGCACGCGCGAUGAGAUGGGUGAAAGAGCAGGUUUAUCAGCUACUUAGGAACUCUGGGAUGGUCCGUGUGGAAAGUAUGGGUAGAUGUGGCAGGUAGUAUGGGCCCGUACUACUGAAAGCAGAGGACCCAUACUUGAUACAGGGGGCAUUCUGAAGGUCCUAAGGAACAGAUUGAGGGGUGAUGUUAUGGUUCGGAUACCAUACAUCGGAGCGGAUACAGAGUGAUGUUAUGGUCAGGGCACCAUACAUCGGAACAGAUUGAGAUAGAUGUUGUGGUUCGAGUGCUAUACAUUGGAGCAGAUUGAGGAGUGGUGCUAUGGUUCAGGUACCAUACACCGAAGCAUGUUGAGGAGGGAUGUCAUGGGAUGAGUACCAUGGUUCGUAGUGGAUGAUGCUUGUGGCUAUCUUGUUAUCCGGUUAUCGAUCGGACGAGCACGAGCGAGCGGGAUGCGAGGAUUCGCGAGAUCCGGCGUGAUGAGGUUGCUGCAUUGUUGCGGGCUGAGUCGCCAGAAUUGUUUGGGUCGAUCAGGACCACUAUGAUUGAAGUAGUUUGAUGAGCGAUAUGCGGCUUUCGCAGAGACGGCUGCCGCGGCGGUUACAGCGGCUGUAGCAACGGCAAAGAAAGGGGCUAGUCGGGGUUUUCAGUAUCGGGACUUCUAUUAUGCGAAGCCUCCCACAUUCGAUGGAGUUCAGGACUCGAUUGUUGCUAUGAGAUGGUUAUCAGACAUGGAGGGGUGUUUCUCCACGAGUUUAUGCCCUGCUGAUCAGAGGGUGGGGUGUGCUCUGAACCUGUUGAGGCUCGGGGCGAAGGAUUGGUGGAGAUUGACCACGAGGUCAUUUUCCGAUGCGCAGAGGGCUGCGGUUUCAUGGGAUCAAUUCAGAGGGAUGUUCAGUACUCGCUAUGUUCCGCGGGAUGAAAAGGAGAAAUUGGCUCGGAAGUUCCUUAAGCUGAAGCAGGAUUUGGAGUCGGUGACUGAGAGCACCGGGAUGUUUAUUGAGAGGGCGAUGUUUUGCCCUGAGUUCGCUUCGGAGCAGGCUCAGAUGUCCCGAUAUCCGAGUAUGCUCAAGGGGGGGUAUCAGACAGUUCGUGUCUGCGCAGAGGCGCGAGACCGUGUUGGUAUCGCAGGAGGCCGCCAUGUGGCGUGAGUUAGAGGUUGAGUUGCAGUUGCGUGAGAUGAGGCAGGCCCCGAUGCAGUCGCAGUCGGCGCCGAAACGGUCCAUGACCGUAGACGUUAGAAUGGGGGAUCGGAGCGGUCACACUUGUGGGAAGUGUGAGAGAGAUGGCACCGGAGCUUGUUGGCCCAGUGGUGCAUGCCGCAAGUGCGGAAAGGAGGGGCAUGGUGCACGGGAUUGUCGGCAGUCAGUGCCAAUUCGGGAUUUCAGGAUUUGUUAUCAGUGUCGGCAGGUUGGACAUUUGAGGGUCAACCGUCCACAGUUUCCUGCAGGACCGGUGCAGGCUCUAGCAUCGGCCACCUUGAGGAGUUCAGGAGGAGGACAGGAUGGAGCAGAGCCCAAGGGCUCAGGGUCGUGCUUAUCGGCUUGCGGCAGAGGGAGACGGAGCAGUGCCGGAGGCAGCUGCGGGUAUGAUGCUCUCUUGAUGUCUUGAGUAGCUUGCGUUGAUUGUGGCGUAUUGUUUGUGCUGGUGUCUGGUGUGGAUUUCGAUGCGGUAUUCGUUGUUUCGCGGGUUUGGCAUGGUUAUGGAUUGGUGCUUCAGGUUUUCGCUUGGCAUUCGUUGUUCCCUGAUGGUUUAGUAUGAUUAUAGUUUGGUGUUUUGGUACCGGUAGCCUUGUGCGGUUUUCGAUGCGAUAUUCAACCUUUGGCAGGUUGUGGGUUUGGUUAUGGGUUAUUGCUUGGGAAUUCCGUUGGUCAUCGUUCGUGAGGGUUGAUAGUGGAGAUGCGGCACUGGGUUGAAUGACGGGUAGCAUCUGCAGUUGUGGAGUGGAUAAUUGAAAGAUCGGAUUCUUUUGAGCGGAUUGAUCAGGGAGGAGAUGUGUUUUGCUGAGGGUUGCUUACGCUUGUGGGAAGCAGUCAGUGGGUAAAUGUUCUCUUUGUGCAGGAUGGUUCUGAAAGGUCGUUAAUGACGAUCGGUGGCAGUUAGUCAGUGCUUUAGUGGGGGAGAAUUGUAAAAUUCUCCGGGAGAUCGAUGAGUAUGUAAGGGUGCUUAGCUGUUGGGAUUCAGCAGUGUUUGUCAGCGCAAAGUAUAGGCCGACGAGAGCGAGUGUUGGGUAUGCGGGGCGAGAUACAGACCUAGGGCAUUUGAUUGUGGAGGCCUGAGAGGAGGUCGGGAUCAAGCUUGAGUAAGUAAUCGGAAUUUUGCGAUCAGAGUAUUGGUACGUUUGAGGUACGUGAUGGGUUGUACUGCAUUAAUCCCACGGGAUUAUGUUGUGCAUGUUUCUAGAGCUGGAACCGGAAGGUUCCCAGAGUUAGAACCUGAGGGUUCGCAGAGUUGGGUUGUACGGACCCACAGAGAUAUAGCCUCGAGUGGCUAGUAUGUGUUAUGAGAGUCGGUCCAGUCAUACUGGAGACUCUGUUGGUAUUGCUGGAUUAGUUUGAGAUUUGCGGAUCGCGUAUGUUGCAGUGUGAUUGCAUUGGAAGGUCUGGCCCCGGGUUAUUGAUCUUGUUUAGCGGAGGCAGUGAUUUUGAUGAGUGGAGAGAGUGCAUGGGAUUGAGAGCCCCUGCAAUGAGAACCAGAGUAUGUGAAUAGCAGUUACGCAAAAAGGGUGGUGUCGCUUGGGGCGAGCACCGUGGCACCGGUUGGAGUGGCAUUAUGUUCAAGAGAGUUCCGUGGAAAAGGAAAAGAGGAGGGUAUGUAACUCCGAAGGGGGUGCAAGUUCACGAAAGUGAAAGCUGCAGAGCAGAGUUAUGGUUAGAGUAUUUCGAGUAUGGUUUUGAGCAUCGUGUUCGCGGCAGUGGAGUAGGAACCCAUCCGGUUGGGAUGUCUGUUGAGGCUCAGAAGGGAUGCAUGGAGAGAGAAAAUUUUAAAUUCUCAGUGUGAAUCUGAUCAGAGUGUAGGGUGGAUGUAGUGGUUCAUCUUGGGAGAUGUUCGAGGAUAUCAUCAGUGUAUCGGGUCUUCCAACCUACGAGUGUUGGGGCUAGUUCAGCAUGUGUAUAUGAUGGCAAGAGGAGAAUUUGUGAGAGUUACUCUGGGAGUGAGAAUGGAUCUCUCAGUUGGUCUGGGAUGGACAAAGUGGGCUUUGGAUCGGGGAUCCGGUGGUUCAGGGCUUCCUAACCCUCAUUGUUCGAGUGAUUGUUGGGGUUUAAGAGCAGAGUUGCAUCUUGGGUGGUUCUCGGUUACAGAGAGAGAUGGACAGUACAGAGUUUGGGCUUCAGUCGACAGAGCAGACUCAGCAGGUUAAGGAGAGUUAGUGAUCGUUUAGAGUUAACAGGAAAGUUAUGCAGGCAGACGCCGUUACGAGUAUGUGAUUCAGGUCAGCGACUUCGUAUUUCUGACGGGGUGCUUCGAUUUAGGAAGAGGGGUAAAUGGGGGGCCCCGGUAUGUUGGGUCUUUUCGUGAAGGUGCGAAGGUAGGAAGGGUGGCCUAUCGUUUGGAGCUGUCAACGGAAUUGGGACGGAUCCAUGACACUGGUAUGUGUCGCAGUUGAAGAGGUGUAUAGCGGAUGAGUCAGCAGUGGUUCUACUAGAGAACGAUUAGGUGGAUGCGAGCCUGUGUUACGUCGAGAGGCCAGUGGCCGUCGGAGAUCGGAAGAUCAAGGUUCUGAGGAACAAGGAGGUACCUCUGGUAUUGGUUCAGUAGCGACCUCGGAAGAUAUCGGAAGUGUUUAGGGAAGCCGAAACGUGUGAUGCGGGAGCAGCAUCCAGAACUAUUUUCAGAGUGAGACUUCGAGGGCGAAGUCUAAUUCUAGUGGGGGAGAAUUGUAACAGCCCAAAAUCUCAAGUAUUGUUAAAUUGCAUUUUGGGGUGUUUUAAAGGGGAGACUCGGCGAGUUGGAGCCAGACUCGCCGAGUAGGGUCGCAGAUUUGGUCGCGGGUUCGCGACUGGACUCGACGAGUCCAGGUAUGGACUCGGCGAGUCGACGCUGUUCAGCAGAAACCCUAGCCGUUUCGUAUUGGGUCGUAUUUAAGGGUUGUAUGUCGUCAUUUCACGUCUUUUGGCCGAUUGUGGAGAACCCUAGACGACUGUGGCAUUUGGAGCAAAACUUGAAGGCCAUUAUUGACUUUGAAGGAAUUGUGGUGCAAGAAGAGGAAGGAUUUUGGCCAAAGGAAGAGCAAGGGGGUCGAGUUCUGAGGUUUGGGGACACAGAGAGUAUGUUUUCAGGUAAGGUUUCGGAUCAUUCCUGUUAUUUUGAUGUGUACACGAAUUUAGGGUUUAUGAAACCCAUUUGGAGAUUUGAUGGAUUAUUAUGUUGUUAUACAAAGGUUUCUACCCUAGUAAUAGGAUGAUUAGAGGUCCAGAAGUCCCAUGAGUGUGUAUCUCGGGAAAAACGUAUCUCAGGAAGCAGUUGGAUCGACUGCAUGGCGUGGACUCGCCGAGUCGGAUGAUCAGACUCGGCGAGUAGCUUGAAGAUUCACUGGGACUCGCCGAGUUGUUCUUCAGACUCGGCGAGUGGAGUCGGGGUGGCCCCGCGAUUCUUCCAGGAGUGACUCGUCGAGUCAAAGAGGAUACUCGACGAGUAGAAGGGGAAUCUCAGAGGAUUGAAGGACGACCAGACUCGCCGAGUCGCCAGGGAACUCGCCGAGUCCAGUCGAGCUGACAUUGGACUGUUGACCAGAGUUGACUGGUGUGAUUCUUAGGGUCAGUUAACGUGGAAGAUAGAAGUAUUAAAUAAGGGAUAUAUGAUGUUACAGGGAGCUUGUAGCUCGGAGGAUCAAGUGCAAGGGAUUUUAGGAGUUGCUAUCUUCUAGUGUCCGCGAGGUGAGUCUUCUCACUAUACCUCACCCGGAAGGGUUUGAUUGUGUGACCGGAAGGUCAAGUAUGUUAUGUGUUAUGUUUAUAUGCUAUAAAUGGA